AAACCUGCCGGAAAUGACGAAACUGACAGGAAGUCUGUAUGUACUGGGAGCUCAGGACGCGUCAGGCCGAAAGCGGUGCAGGGAAGAAAUACCAGCAAGUACAGUCAUUCAACCUACCCAGGGUCACCAGCAAUGCAUCUAGAGAAGAUACCCCGAGUUCUUCACGUUUCAAGUUCCAAGUUCAGUAGCCAAGCUUCUCAAAUACUGUAUCAACUGAAAUUAUUUUAAGUUAAUUAACAUGUUCAUUUUGUGUUAUUUAAAUGUAUAGAAAUAUGAAAUUAGGUGUAGACUUAGAUCUACAGUUUUCAUAUGACUACUAAAAUCACACAAUAAAAAUAUGCAAACCCACC
rnacentral:lncRNA from 7 species